rnacentral:lncRNA from 1 species
CACACCUCCUUGGAGAAGUGCCAGGCCUCAGAGCACAAAGCAUCAGCUCUGGUGGGGUGACAAAGCCGUGGAGACGUAUCCUGCAAGUUGCUCUGCUGCUGUGUACAACUGAUUUGGAGUGACAGCAUACAGUGUCUCUUUGCAAAAUGAAAAUCAUUCCACAGAGCACUUCAAGGCUACCUUCAGAAGAUUUCAUUACCUCCUGUCACAAAUAGGAGACGGAGAAGCCAUGCAAACCAGGAACUGGACUGGAGAUGUUCUUUCCAUUUCUUCUGAAGAUAUUGCCUACCUUUAUCUUUAAGAACAGUAGUGUAAUUAGGACAUCUCUAAAGUAGUUGUCUGCAUCUCUUUGGCUAAACAACUUAUACAAAUAGAGGGGAGGAAUGUUAUGGAGAGGUAUGUAAGGAAUUACGGGCAAUAUGGCCACGCACAAGGUUUAUAAUAAGGAACCUGCACUCAGCUCCUCUGAGAUGUCCA